rnacentral:rRNA from 1 species
CCUACGGGCGGCAGCAGUGAGGAAUAUUGGUCAAUGGGCGCGAGCCUGAACCAGCCAAGUCGCGUGAAGGAUGACUGCCCUACGGGUUGUAAACUUCUUUUAUAAAGGAAUAAAGUGAGGCACGUUUGCCUUUUUGUAUGUACUUUAUGAAUAAGGAUCGGCUAACUCCGUGCCAGCAGCCGGGGUAAUCCGGAGGAUCCGAGCGUUAUCCGGAUUUAUGGGGUUUAAGGGGAGCGUAGAUGGGUUGUUAAGUCAGUUGUGAAAGUUUGCGGUGCAAGCGUAAAAUUGCAAUUGAUACUGGCAGGCUGGAGUACAGUUGAGGUAGGCGGAAUUCGUGGUGUAGCGGUGAAAUGCUUAGAUAUCACGAAGAACUCCGAUUGCGAAGGCAGCUUACUAAACUGCCACUGACAUUGAUGCUCGAAAGUGUGGGUAUCAAACAGGAUUAGAUACCCCUGUAGUC